AAUUCAACCUAGUACGAGAGGAACCGUUGAUUCGCACAAUUGGUCAUCGCGCUUGGUUGAAAAGCCAGUGUCGCAAAGCUACCGUGCGCUGGAUUAUGACUGAACUCCUCUAAGUCAGAAUCUGAGCUAGAAGCGAUG
rnacentral:ncRNA from 1 species